UAAUGGUUAUGGCGGAUGUGAGGGGGAUUUGGCAGAGGCAGAAGAGAGGCCUUUCGCUCUCAAAUAUCGUCCCUUACGUCGUGUGAGUCUACCAACCCACCACGACCUCAUAUUCUUGUGCGGGUGUCUGACUCGAAUGACAAGCGAGCUGAUUUUUUCAGUACAUAGCUGGGAAAUGUAGUGAGUGAUAAUAGAGAUUUCUCUUUCAUUUUUUACGCUUGACUUGGUUAUUGUUGCUUUUCUUUUCCCGUGAUUCCUUCUGAGGAUUAGCUCUGACUUCCCCACUAUUGGCGGUCAAAGUGGCCCCGACUCGGGAUGACAAUUGACGGGGAUCAAGGGAUUGCCCAUUCUGUGCCUGUAAGAACCGAUUCGUGCCAGAGAAACUCAUCAAGUGGAGGCGGAGAAUAAAGACCGUUCGGGGUUGGCCCAGGACCCAGCUGGUCCCACAUCUUCCCCCAGGGCGUGCCACCCCGGCUGACACCCUUCACACUUGGCUGCCUACACUCCUGCUCUAAGAAGCCUGUUUCAAAGAAGCCCACAUUCCCUUGUUGCACGUAGAAGGCUGCAGUUGGAGACGGGACAACUAGGUUCUGGGAAGCCAUGGCAGAAAUCACGCAGACUCUGAUUCCCGCCGAGAACCAGCCUAAAGAACCACUCAUGGCAAGACGGGGGCCCACCGGCCUGCUGGCUCCUCACCAAACUCUACUCCGCAUUGACUGUGGGCUCUUGUUCUAGAGGCACCCGCAUCCUCAGGAUGAAAUUAUCCCAGCCUUUACACCCUCACUCAACUUCUGGCAUGGACAUGCUCAGCAUUGCCACACUUGCCAAUAAAGCCUCUGAUUCAACAGAAAUCUGGAAGUGUUCACAGCUUGGCCCGGAGAAGAUCGUUUUAAAUCUACAGCUUUAAAAUGUGGUUGAAAAGGAGCCCAGGUUGGAUUCUGCCAGCAGGUCCGCUGGCCGCUGUUACCUCCCCACUGUCAACGCCUAGGUCUCUGCCUCCAGCCCUGUUUCAGCCUGUCCUUGAGGAUUUGCUUCACCUCAUUUACUGAGCUUGCCACAGAUUCAUUACCUGGCAUCAGAGCUCCCCUCUCACUGAGCCUGCCCAGAGGGGUGCCAGUAUACUAGCCAGAUGCCGCUGGAGGGACUCCACAAUAAAGCCUGGCUAUUAAAGACUUCAACAGUCUCAUAAAGUCACUUUGCCAGCUGUAGAGCACACAAGUGCCCACAGAUCCAAGCCUCCUUCCUUCCCCAAAGAAACACCUUGGAUAAAGUCUUGGAAUAUCAUCCAUUAGCACAUGGCUCCAGCCAACACAUGAAUUCCCUUACACCAGCACAUGGUCUCUCUUUCCUGUUCAUUCACUUUGGAAGACAGUCCUUGAAAUGACAAGGCCUGGAGUGUCUUGUACAACCACCGCCAAUCCGGUUUCCAGCAGAGGCUUGUGGGCUAGGGAGUGUAUCGAUUUGUAUUGUUAAAGGAAUUUCCUGCUCCUCUCAGUGUCAGCUGAAGAGCCCUCUGCAGUCAUUCUCCUAUUUUGAGAGAAGAGAAACAAGAGGAGACGAACUCCUGGUUCCUUCCUACGGGGUGUAUAGACCAGUGACAAUGUUAGUCCUACAAUUUGGAUUUAUUUGUUUGUUUUCUAAUCACCGCCACUUCUCCAAGUACAAAGUCUGUGUCUAUAAUUAGAUAUCUUCUACAUGUUACACCGGCAAGUCCAUCUCAUCAUUUUACAGAGGGAUGGUGACUUCCUUUAGCGCCCCAUACUGACCGCGGUCCCUCACCUGCUGACUGAUUGACUUAUAAAUCUGCCCCCCACCCACUUGUCUGUCCAUUGAAGGCAAAUUCGCCAUCGGGAACACAGUAGUUUCUCAAUAACUAUCUAAUGCAUGGCCACCCUUCCCAGGAUUUAGAAUAUCAAAGGGACGUGUUCUUUCCUCCCAAAUCACCUGCCUGCGCUUCCCCCAGCCGGGUGCCCCAGCCUUCACCUCGGUCCGGCCACCACCUCAUCCCGCUUCUUCGCGGCUUCCAGGCCUCGGGCUGGGAUCUCAGCCCCUGCCUGUAGGUGCGGCCCAGAGGGUGCGACACGCGUCGGAGCGGGGCAGCGGAGGAGGGGACAGGGACGCGGCAGCCACACCCGCAUCUCUUUCCCCUCUCGGGCAUCCCCGAGGGCCCUUCUGCCUCCAGUUCCUUGAGCCCCCGAAGCCCCCCAUGCGGCAAGAGCGAGUCGCAGGAACAAGUGGGGAAUCUUGGCCGCGGCCCCCUCCCCCGCCUUAUAAAAAAGAAAUUGACUUUUGUUUGGAGUUUGUGAAAAGUGGGGCUCGGGGCCCAGUCAAUGGGGCGCCCCGCGGCGCGGGCUGAGUGGAGCUAGCGCGAACCGCUCAGCCGCGGCCCCAAUUAAUCCGCCCUUUGUGCGGCCCGCCCGGCCGCCCCCGCCGCAGCCGCACCAGCGGCCCAUUGUUCGGCCUCGCCGGGCCGCGGGAUUUACCCUUUUCAAACAGCCGGUUUUGUCCAGGGCAGUUCGAGCGGAAGUUUCUCACUGACAAUUUGCCCCAAAUAGAUAGAUUUGUCAGAAGCGACCUUCGGGAAGGAAGCAAAAAGCCACCGGCCCGAAGGUUGGGCCCAAAACAGGGACUCUGCGUCCCACCCGCGGCCGCGCCGCCCCCCCGCGCCCCCGGCCCUGCAGUCCCGAAGCCCCGCGGGGGUCCAGACCACUGCACCUGCUGAGCCAGACACUCCGCGGACCUGACCUCCGUUUUACCCAUCUGUAAAAUGGAGCAGCUGGGCGCUGGCAAGCCGUAAGUCCAAGAGCUUUGGCUCCACCAGCGUGUACGACGCUCAUUUCCUUUCUCUCUCCCCACACCCUUUCCAAAAACUGUAAGCCAGAAAACCUGGCCAGGCCUCCGCGACGGCGAGAAACGGUCUUGAAGGUCGGUCGGUCGCCGUAAUGCGGUCCGGAUCGUGCACGUGCUGUUUCGCCACUGCCCUCCGGCUCCUCCUUAACAAAGAUGUCAACCGUGCUAAAUCACAGGUGGUGCCUUUGUAAGACCAGCUAUUGUCCCCUCAUAAGUCAAGAUAUAAAACGCUUUGUACUGAAUGGCCCAUGAUCUGGAGCGCUCAACUUGGGAGUUGAGCUGUUAGAUUUUCUUUUCCCCACCCACCAGAGCCACUCUUCUCCCAAAUGACCUCACUUAAUAAGCAAAAUUUAAAUGGGGUGGGGGGGGACUCAACAUGCUGUGGAUGAAAAGAAUAGUUACUGAUUUCUUCACACUUAAUGGCAUGUAGGAGUCUUUUAAAAUACAGUCUCAUACCAAACAGAUCUGUGAAUUUUAAGCAGAACUGAAUUGUAUUAAUCAGUUGAUGGGUUUGUUCAUCUUCUAUCACUAGAUGAGAAAUACAAAGGUUGGGAAUCCACAGCGUCUAAUUCUACUGUACUUAAGCAAUCUCUCCCUUUAGUCCAGAAAAUUUCCUACUAGUUGCACAUGAGAGAAAAAUUGAAGCAAAAAAAAAAAAAUCUGUUUUUUGUUUAUCCAUCAGGUGAAUACACACUUCAGCAUCAUACAGAGGAAACCCUAGGUGGUCUUUAGCAAGAUUUCAGUGGUUAAGAGCUACAAUUUAGAAAAGAUGACAAUACAUACACAGUGUCAAUAGUAUUUAAACAAACAUCCCAGACAACAGAAUAAUGGUUAUUAACUAUGAUGCUUUGGGCUUCUGACUAAUUUCCCAUGUCUGUCUGCAGCCAAACAGCUGCAGGAUUUUUCCCCCUUUAAAAACUGUUUGUGCAUCAUUUUAAAAAUUGCAUUUAACAGCCAUAUUCUCCAGAGCAGUCCCUCUGUGUGGAACUGAAGUGAAUGGUUUAGCAAUAGCGAUGAAGCCAGUAAGUAGUAAGAAUGUCUUUCAUGCCAAAAGAACUCUAACCACUCUGCUAGAAAUGGGCUACAUUUUUACUCUCUGAAAUGUAGAAGCUGUCUGCUACUGUAUGACCUUCAGUAUGGUUUACAUGUCUAAAUAAAUGGAAUUAUUUAACCCUGCUCACACUUGCACUAGUGUUUUCAAAAUUGAUUAAGUUGUGCAACUGUACUAAAGUGUACCUUUCUUGGGGUUUGAAAAUAUUAAAGAAAUCAAGAGAGGGUAAGAUUAUUUUGCAAAAUUGCUUUCUCACUCUUCCAGAUAAAUAUUACAUUUUAAAAAUUACUUGGUGAUCCAAAGAUUAAAAUGAAUGCAUUUCUGUACACUCCAAAUAUGCAAUUCCAAUGAUUAUUUAGCUACUGCAGCUGGAAAUACAUAUAUUUAGGGAUACAGAUAUGUACAAUUAUGAAUACUUG
rnacentral:lncRNA from 10 species